rnacentral:pre_miRNA from 1 species
ACAAUAACAUUCUGACCAUCGGUCUACCGAACAAUAUCACCCGUUCGAUGGAAGAUCUUCCCUUUGUCGUUACC